rnacentral:rRNA from 1 species
AACGAACGCUGGCGGCAUGCCUAACACAUGCAAGUCGAACGAGACCUUCGGGUCUAGUGGCGCACGGGUGCGUAACGCGUGGGAACCUGCCCUUAGGUUCGGAAUAACUCCCCGAAAGGGGUGCUAAUACCGGAUCAUGUCUUCGGACCAAAGAUUUAUCGCCUUUGGAUGGGCCCGCGUGGGAUUAGCUAGUGGGUAGGGUAAAAGCCUACCACGGCGACGAUCCAUAGCUGGUCUGAGAGGAUGAUCAGCCACACUGGGACUAAGACACGGCCCAGACUCCUACGGGAGGCAGCAGUGGGGAAUAUUGGACAAUGGGCGAAAGCCUGAUCCAGCAAUGCCGGGAGAGUGAUGAAGGCCUUAGGGUUGUAAAGCUCUUUUACCCGGGAUGAUAAUGACAGUACCGGGAGAAUAAGCUCCGGCUAACUCCGUG